CUCAGUACCGUCUACUUUGCAAAUUAGUUUUCCCUUACUCUUUAAAGAAGACAGAGAAAUAUUGUAACGGGUAACUCCAGGAUGUGCUGAUGGAUUUGUCAUUAACUUCCUUCAACACAUCUAUCAGUGCUUCCCAAGACUAUUGUCUACAGCUUCAACAGUCAGACCCCAUUCUCAGUUACACACCCAAUGCUUUGAAGCAAGUGCCUACCUUUGCUCAAAAAUAUGUAUAUACUCAUGACUUUUGUGGUACAGUUUGUAUGUCUGAAUCUAGAAGAAAGGUGGAGCAAAUGCCCAUGGCAGGUGGAUUUAAGCAUUCAGUACGUGAGCCAUGAACUCUGGAGAACACUCCCGUAAGGAGACUGCCAAAGCCCAGGUGUUUCUCUAACCUUUUAAAGUCUGGCUUGGUGAACGAGCAAAGAAGGGAACUGUUUGGGAUCAGACAAGCCAUACAACCAAACUAAUCUCUACAUGCAACAAUGAGAUCAAAUCAGGAAGAAAUGGCUUGGAAAUGCUAGUACAAAGAACCCCUUCCUUGUGUAAUUCAUCCUGCUUUCCCAGCAGCUUUCAGCUCAUGUGUGUUACGGUUUGUCCUAACUCCUCCGUGCUUUUUUCUUGCCUGCUUAAAAAAAGUAAGUCACUGCUGGUCAGAGCUCUGCUACACUGAGAACUGUUACUACAACAGAAGCAUU